ensembl:lncRNA
CGUUCAUGCAAAUUCAGUAAUUUCAGCGCACUAAUAUGUGUUAGCAAAUAUGAUUUAUCAGUAAUGGAUGCUAUUAUUUUUGCCUCUUACCAACAAAUUACAGGAAACUAACAAGAGGGGGCGCCAGUAAAACAAACUAGUUAAAUGGGUAAUUUUCUUUUGAAAGUUAAAAACACUGUUUAUGCUCAUUUGUUUAGAGUAACUGAAUAAACUUGAAACACAUCUAUGAUUCAGUAAUAUGAUUCUCAUUAAAAAGUUAGAAAAUUAUGUAUCAAGAUGUAUUCAACAUGAUAAGCACACGCAACAACUGUUUUCAUAUUUGUUGAGCAUGAGUACGCAUUUACAUGACUUUCAGGUUGGUAGUUUUAUGUAUGUUAUAUGAAUGUAUAUUAAAGACGCCUGCAAAUGGCACUGAUGUGUUACUGUGCAUGGAUGUCAUUGCAGGUCUAGGCCCAUGCGUUCCCAGGAUCCAUUUCAACAUUAGGCUGUAUCACUGAAAGUAUAGCCUGUGUUCUGACCGUCAGGCAGGUGUCAUUACUGCACUUCAUUUGCAAGGUGCGGUGGACCCUAGUGUAGACGGGAGCUUGCAGAGGGACCUUCCCCACGGACUAUAUGAAGGGAAGGGAGGGGAGGGGGAGGGGGGGCUGCUGACGUUACUCCCAGCUUGCAGAACACACAGAGACAAGAACUUUAAUGGCUUCCAGGUAGAGAGAAAGAGGCAGCAGUCAAGAUGAACUCGAUUCCUUCGAUGGACAGGCACAUACAGCAGACCAAUGACAGGCUGCUGUGCAUCAAACAGCACUUACAGAAUCCGGCCAAUUUCCAGACAGCGGCCACGGAGCUACUGGACUGGUGUGGAGACCCACGAGCCUUCCAGCGGCCAUUUGAGCAAAGCCUUAUGGGAUGCUUGACGGUUGUAAGUCGUGUGGCAGCACAGCAGGGUUUUGACUUGGACCUCGGCUAUCGGCUCCUGGCCGUGUGUGCGGCAAACCGCGACAAGUUCACCCCUAAGUCGGCAGCUCUCCUGUCGUCCUGGUGCGAGGAGCUGGGACGGCUGCUCUUGUUGCGGCAUCAGAAGAAUCGUCAGAGCGAUCCACCGGGCAAAGUACCCUUGCAGCCACCCAUGAACUCCAUGAAGCCCUCGCUCUCACAUGGUGAUGGGUCCUUUCCAUAUGACAGUGUUCCCUGGCAACAAAACGCUAACCAGGCCCCGGGUUCGCUGUCGGUAGUUACGACGGUGUGGGGAGUUACCAAUACAUCACAAAGUCAGGUCUUGGGUAACCCCAUGGCCAAUACUAACAAUCCCAUGAACCCUGGAGGCAAUACACUAGGGACGAGUAUGUCAGGCAACAACCCAGGGAUCAACUCACCUCAGUUCCCUGGCCAACAACAACAGUUUUCAGCCAAAGGGGGAUCCAACCAGGCCUACAUCCAGCAAAGCAUGUAUGGGCGUCCAGGUUACCCAGGUGGGCCAAAUGCUCCGGGUGGCAUAGGCAUGCCCCCCCAUACACGACCGCCCUCUGAUUUCACCCAACCUGCUGCUGCUGCCGCCGCCGCCGCCGUCGCUGCUGCCGCCGCCACCGCAACAGCUACUGCCACAGCAACCGUGGCAGCCCUGCAAGAGACCAAUAAAGACAUGAACCAGUAUAACCAGAUGGGGCCUACGCAAGGCUACAAUAACCAGUUCAUGAACCAGCCAGGGCCCCGUGGACCCCCGUCCAUGGCUGGAGGCAUGAACCCAGCUGGUAUGGGUGGUGGCAUGAAUAGCUCCAACAUGAGUGGCCCACCAAUGGGUAUGAACCAGCCCAGAGGCCCAGGAAUGGGGCCCUUCGGUGGCCACGGCCAAAGGAUGCCUCAACAGGGUUACCCUGGACCCAGACCUCAGUCCAUGCCCAUGCAGGGCACCAAGAGGCACUAUCCAGGAGAGCCUAAUUAUGGAGGCCAGCAGUUUGGACCCAACGGCCAGUUUCCCAACCAGCAAGGGCAGUACCCUAACCCAAACGCUUCUAGAGCCCUUCCUUCACCCAAUUACCCUGGCCAAAGGAUGCCAGGACAACAGGGCUCUGGCCAGUACCCCCCUACUGGGCCUCCUCGGCAGGUGGUGAACUACCCACACUCGCCAGUUCCUGGGAACCCCACGCCACCCAUGACCCCUGGAAGUAGUAUACCAUACAUGUCGCCCAGUCAAGAUGUCACGCCCCCGUUUCCUCCAGACAUGAAGCCAAACAUGACGUCUUUGCCUCCACCUCCAAGUGAGUCACCCAACCCCAAUGAGGAGCUGCGUUUGACGUUCCCAGUGAGAGACGGAGUGGUGCUGGAGCCCUUUAGAUUAGAGCACAACCUGGCCGUCAGUAACCACGUCUUCCAUCUGCGCCCCUCCGUCCACCAGACGCUUAUGUGGAGAUCUGAUCUGGAGCUGCAGUUUAAGUGCUAUCAUCAUGAGGACCGACAAAUGAACACCAAGUGGCCCGCAUCCGUCCAAGUCAGCGUCAAUGCCACCCCCCUCACUAUUGAGAGGGGCGACAAUAAAACAUCCCACAAACCCCUGCAUCUAAAGCAUGUGUGUCAGCCAGGGAGAAACACCAUCCAGAUUACGGUCGCAGCCUGCUGUUGUUCGCACUUGUUCGUGCUGCAGCUGGUCCAUAGGCCUUCGGUGCGAUCGGUCCUGCAAGGGCUCCUCAAGAAGAGGCUCCUUCCUUCCGAACAUUGCAUUACCAAAAUUAAAAGAAACUUCAGUAGCGUAGCAGCGUCCUCUGGGAAUGCCACACUAAAUGGAGAGGAUGGAGUAGAGCAGACAGCCAUCAAAGUGUCCCUCAAGUGUCCAAUCACAUUCCGACGGAUCCAGCUCCCUGCUAGGGGACAUGACUGCAAACACGUGCAGUGCUUUGACUUAGAGUCCUAUCUGCAGCUGAACUGUGAGAGAGGAACGUGGAGAUGUCCUGUAUGCAAUAAAACAGCAUUAUUGGAAGGGCUGGAGGUGGAUCAGUACAUGUGGGGAAUUCUCAAUGCGAUCCAAAAUUCGGAGUUUGAAGAGGUCACCAUCGACCCUACGUGUAGUUGGAGACCGGUGCCCAUAAAGUCAGACAUUCAUAUAAAGGAGGACCCAGAUGGCCCUCUGGCCAAGCGUUUUAAAACCAUGAGUCCCAGUCAAAUGAUCAUGCCUAAUGUGAUGGAUAUGAUCGCCCAGCUGGGUCCCGGCCCUUCACCCUACACCCCCCUCCCCCCUCAGCACGGAGGAAAUAAUGGCGAAUAUGGGGGCCAUGGCAAUAGUUAUCAGGGCCAUGGAAACUUUGACUUCUCCCACAGUAACUCUGGUGGCGGAACUCCCAUGAAUGACUUCAUGCACGGACCCCAGCUCUCACAUCCUCCAGACAUGCCCAGCAGCCUCAUGGGCCCUGACAAGCCUCUCGCCCACGGCAUGCCCGACUCGAUGCCCCAUCCCGUGAGCGCUGAUCAAUCCCAUGCUUCCAUGCAGCCAGGCAUGCACGCAUCCCCUCACCCCAACAGCCAAUCAGCUCAGCCAUUGCAUCACAGCGGCCCCCCAUCCUCCCAGCACCCGCGCCAGCCCCCGCCCCCCCAGCAGCCAGGCCAAAACAGUCACCCACAUGCCGAAAUGACCUUCAACCCCGCCGCUGAUGGGCAGGCAGGUGGCCAGGGACCUGCAGACAUGCCCGAGCCUUCUCUGGAUCUUCUGCCAGAACUGGCGAACCCAGACGAGUUGCUGUCAUACUUAGACCCUCCUGACCUCCCAAGCAGCAGCAAUGACGAUCUGCUUUCCCUUUUUGAGAACAACUGACUUCUUUCAGUCGGCCUUUUGCAGAGGUCCUAAUUUGUUUGGCUGUCAGGAAUCGAGAGGCACCUGAAGACUGACUCUGUACUUUGCAAACAGGAAACAGCCAUCCUUUUGCCUCUUCCUCGUGUAAAUAUCUCACUCUUUUACAAGCAACCUUUUCCACACAUAUAUGGCAGCCAUGUUGGUUGGCACUAAAGUGAUAUCUUUCAAUACUAAUGGAAAUACAUGUGCAGCUAUAAUCAGUUCAUAUGAAUACGUCACACAGAACUGUGUGUGUGCUCACUAGGAAAGUAUUGUAGCAUUUUUAAUUCAGAUUUUUUUUCCUUUUGUGAAAAGAAGACCUGAAUAGAAAAUAUAUAUAUAUAUUUUCUUCCUGUACCGGCCUCUGUGUGUUCGCAAUCUCUUGAAGGUUUGUUCUUCCAAGCUCUACCACCAUGGCUUCCCAAGUCCUUGUCUGCUGGAUGUCCACACUGUUUGUCUGUCCAUCUCCCUCAAAAAAGCACAAGAGAAUGCGUCAAACUGCACCUGGAAGCCUGUAAAGGAGACAACAAAAGGGAAAAACGCCCAUCUCGGAAUCACCAGAAUGAUCUAACCCUCCCAUCCCAGAGACUAAUGAUGGGAGUUUUGCGAAAGUCCUCCAAACUCUCACGCCACAGGACACGAGAGUGUGUUCUGUUCUAGUACACCGCGCAGCUUUGCACCUCAUUUUGUAAUGCGAUUCAUAUGUCCAGCACCUUCAGACAUAUGCAUCAUGUUCUAAACAAAUGCUAGAGGGCAUCACGGCAUGCAUUCUUUUCCUUCUCGAGACAGAAUUGCAAACAUUUCAGCACUGUACCCAUAAUAUUGUGCAUCUUCCGACAGACUGUUCCUCCUUCCGUAACAUCCUAUGGAUUCUCCACACUAGUGGUCACAGGGCAAGAAGAAAGCAAUUCACAUUUCAAAGGGACGUCAGUCUUGUGUUAUCUGUCUUCUCUGUGAGUUCUCUUCAUGCAUGAGGCUUGGUCGUCUUAGGCCCUUGAUGUUUGUACCCCUCUUCUGACAAACUGCAUACAAUGUUGAAACAUUCACUUUUGCCAAUCGCCCCAUAUUUUAAGUGAUACUGUUUUUUUUCUUCCUCAAUCAUUUCUUCUGUUCAUUUUAAUUCUGCCUUUUAUUCAUGAACUGUUGUGUUAAAGUUUUAUUUUAUAAUGCACAAUAUACGUAUUGUUCAUAUAAUGGUAGUUUUUUUUUCUGUUGUUACAAUUGUACAAAAAUGUGUACAUUUAUCAAAAGAUGUCCAUGGAUUACCAAAGUUAUGCACCCUGAUUUGAGAAGGUGGCCCAAACCUAUUUUGACAAGCCCAUUUUUAAAUUUUUACCCAUAGAAUUUAAUCAAUGUAUAAUGUUUCACUUUUAGCAAUUUGUUUACAAGUAAUAUCAUAGUUAUUACAGAGCAAACAAUGAAGAAAGUGUUAGAAUAUGUUAUAUAUUUAUAGAUUUUUACUUUUUAAUUCAAUUAUAUAAUGAAGCUAUAUAUUAUCGCAGUACCCAUCAAUGAUUUCGAUUCUUACAGAAAAUGUACAUUUCAGUAAAAAUUCAGUCACUUUUAUACUGUAUCAGCAGCUCAGUGAAGGUUAACAACGUCCAUGUGUACAAGAUGGAUUUUCUUUAAGAUUUCUUUGUUUUUGUUUUUAAAUCAAAAAUGGCCCGCUUCAAUAAUUGUCAGUAUUUAUGAUAUUUGUAACAACAUUUCCGUGAUACUGAUGUUACUCAAAGACUGUUGAAGAAGGCUGACAUCUGUACACCUGAAUACUGUUUGGGAUGUGUUUUGUUGGAUGAAACAUCGCUGUUGAAACAUGUUUCCAAUUUAAGUUAUUUUUUUAUGAUUUGCAAUAUUAGUUUUUAGUUAGUUUUUUUUCCUGUUUUUCUUGGUGUAGAAUUAUGUACAAAAAUGAUGUUUGUCGUUGACAGGAAAACUGGUUCAAGUUCUAUAGCGUUUGUCUGUAGUUCACUUGUAUAUCCUUUUUCAAAGAUGCACUGCCACAUAUUCGUUCCCACUUUGUAGACACAAAUAGGCAUAAACUGAACUUUAAGACUUCUAAAGUCGGCUCUGAACUGUCACGUACUAUCGUUGUACAGUCAUUGAAGAGGCAGUGAGUGCUGAGGCGGGAACAGAAAGGUUUAAAUGAAAUAGACGGUGUGUUCACUAUUCAGCCACAGGUGAGGGUUCAGUGAGGGUCGAAGGAAAAGGGGGGAAGGGGCACAUUAGGGAUGCAUGUACAUAUGUAAAUGAUAAAUAGAGACACGUUAACAGAAAUGUAUUCAUUUUCCCCAGGGGAAUGUGCAUUGUGUAUUUAGAAUUUGUAAAGCUUGCAUCCUCCCAUCAGAAUCUAAAUUGGGUAAAAUGAAUCUGUGUUUGUUAGCGUCUGUGGAACCUCUAAGCAUUUGUUCACUUUUGUAAAAUAUUCAUCCCACAUGAGUGAGGAUCUAAACUGGUCAGAAGAAAAAAAAACAACAACAAAAAAACUAAUUGUGAUUUUUAGUCUUGCAAAACUGUAUGUAGUUAGAUGCUGUGACAUCCUAAUAUUUAUCUAAUAAAUAUGUAUUCAGAUGAAACA